GACGAACGCUGGCGGCGUGCUUAACACAUGCAAGUCGAACGAAGUGGCGAACGGGUGAGUAAUACGUGGGUAACCUGCCCUCCUUUUUGGGAUAAGCCUUGGAAACGGGGUCUAAUACCGAAUAGAGGGGGAUGGGCGCGGGGUCUAUCAGCUUGUUGGGGGGGUGAGGGCCUACAGGGGCGGUGGCGGGGAGCCGGACUGAGAGGGUGCGCGGACACAUUGAGACUGAGAUACGGCUCAGACUCAUACGGGGGGCAGCAGUGGGGGAUAUUGCACAAUGGGCGAAAGUCUGAUGCAGCGGCGCCGCGUGGGGGAUGAAGGCUUUCGGGUUGUAAACCUCUUUCGAUAGCGAACGGGUAGGUGGAGAAGAAGCGCCGGCUAACUACGUGCCAGCAGCCGCGGUAAUUC
rnacentral:rRNA from 1 species